CCCUUAGAUGUUCUGGGCCGCACGCGCCCUACACUGAUGCAUUCAACGAGCCUAUCCUUGACCGACAGGUCCGGGUAAUCUUUGAAUCUGCAUCGUGACGGGGAUAGAUUAUUGCAAUUAUUAAUCUUCAACGAGGAAUGCCUAGUAGGCGCAAGUCAUCAGCUUGCGUCGAUUACGUCCCUGCCCUUUGUACACACCGCCCGUCGCUCCUACCGAUUGGGUGUGCUGGUGAAAUGUUCGGAUCGGCCGUUUGUCGCGGUUUCCGCGUCAUGUGGCUGAGAAGUUCAUUAAACCCUCCCACCUAGAGGAAGGAGAAGUCGUAACA
rnacentral:rRNA from 1 species